rnacentral:tRNA from 1 species
GCCUCGUGGGUCCGCUGGGUGGACGCCUGCCUGUCGAGCAGGAACGAGAGGGGUUCGAUUCCCCUACGAGGCG